CAAGAAAUAGUUUAUUUAAAAUUUUAAUUUUGGAGAUUAAAGAUAUAAUUUUUAUUAUUUUUUUGA
rnacentral:tRNA from 1 species